rnacentral:rRNA from 1 species
AUUGAACGCUGGCGGCAUGCCUUACACAUGCAAGUCGAACGGCAGCACGGGUGCUUGCACCUGGUGGCGAGUGGCGAACGGGUGAGUAAUACAUCGGAACAUGUCCUGUAGUGGGGGAUAGCCCGGCGAAAGCCGGAUUAAUACCGCAUACGAUCCACGGAUGAAAGCGGGGGACCUUCGGGCCUCGCGCUAUAGGGUUGGCCGAUGGCUGAUUAGCUAGUUGGUGGGGUAAAGGCCUACCAAGGCGACGAUCAGUAGCUGGUCUGAGAGGACGACCAGCCACACUGGGACUGAGACACGGCCCAGACUCCUACGGGAGGCAGCAGUGGGGAAUUUUGGACAAUGGGCGAAAGCCUGAUCCAGCAAUGCCGCGUGUGUGAAGAAGGCCUUCGGGUUGUAAAGCACUUUUGUCCGGAAAGAAAUCCUUGGCUCUAAUACAGUCGGGGGAUGACGGUUCCGGAAGAAUAAGCACCGGCUAACUACGUG